rnacentral:rRNA from 1 species
GAAGGCCUUUGGGUUGUAAAACUCUGUCUUCUGUGAAGAAAUAGCCUGUGAGUGAAAUGCUCAGGCCCUGACGGUAACAGAGGAGGAAGCCACGGCUAACUACGUGCCAGCAGCCGCGGUAAUACGUAGGUGGCAAGCGUUGUCCGGAAUCACUGGGCGUAAAGCGCGCGCAGGCGGCGAUCUACGUCUGGGGUGAAAGCCCGGAGCUCAACUCCGGGACUGCCUUGGAUACGGGAUCGCUUGAGAAUUGGAGAGGCAAGGGGAAUUCCACGUGUAGCGGUGAAAUGCGUAGAUAUGUGGAGGAACACCUGUGGCGAAGGCGCCUUGCUGGCCAAUUUCUGACGCUGAGGCGCGAAAGCGUGGGGAGCAAACAGGAUUAGAUACCCUGGUAGUCCACGCCGUAAACGAUGAGUGCUAGGUGUUGGGGGGUACCACCCUCAGUGCCGAAGCUAACGCAUUAAGCACUCCGCCUGGGGAGUACGGUCGCAAGACUG